AGAGUUUGAUCCUGGCUCAGGACGAACGCUGGCGGCGUGCUUAACACAUGCAAGUGGAGCGACGAACCAGGCUUCGGCCUGGGGCAGAGCCGCGAACGGGUGAGUAACACGUGGGUAACGUGCCCCGAUGAUCGGGACAACCCGGGGAAACCCGGGCUAAUACCGAAUGUGCUGUCCCCACACCAGUGGGGAUUGGAAAGGAAGCUUCGGCCUCCGCAUCGGGAUCGGCCCGCGGCCCAUUAGCUUGUUGGUGAGGUAACGGCUCACCAAGGCUGCGAUGGGUAGCUGGUCUGAGAGGACGAUCAGCCACACUGGGACUGAGACACGGCCCAGACUCCUACGGGAGGCAGCAGUGGGGAAUCUUGCGCAAUGCGCGAAAGCGUGACGCAGCAACGCCGCGUGGGGGAAGAAGGCCUUCGGGUUGUAAACCCCUUUCAGGAGGGACGAAGCCCGGGCGGUUAAUAGCCGACUCGGGUGACGGUACCUCCAGAAGAAGCCCCGGCUAACUACGUGCCAGCCGCGGCGGUAAUUC
rnacentral:rRNA from 1 species